CUCAGGGAUUCUCUAAGCUUGGUACUGUCCGCCUGGGUCUCCCAUAAUUGCCCGUGACAGAUAAUACAGUGUCUCGAGGCAGAAACCAUGAUCCCUCUAAUCCAGCGGCCGAGGCAGAGGGCCUACUGCCUGCGGCCACCUGGCUUUCCUAACGGCUUAAUGAGAAAGUCAGAAUUAAUUGGAACUGGCACCCAGCACUUGCAGGGCUCGGCGUGGCCAGCUCGGCCUCCAUAUGUUAAAGCUGAGCAUCUCUGGUUCUGCUCUGACCUGUUCUGCACACCGACAGGUGUGUUGCCUGAAACUUGGAGGUUAGCCUGACAAGGGAGGUGGCUGGGGCUGUGGUGACCAGUGCCACAGCCUUCCUCCCAGCUUUUGGUCACUGAGGCUCCACAGUAACUGGCUUCUAAGUACAGAUAGCCUCUCUGAGGUCAAGUCAACAUUCUGGACACCCAGAACUGGCCAGUCCUGUCCUGGCAGACACACAGCUGAACAGUCGUUGAUCAUGGACAGGUAACUCCUUGGUGGGAGUGUUGAACUCCUACUCAUAUGCCAAAGCCCCAGUGCUCCAUGCUUACCCAUUUGGGAACCCAUCUAUCCCUACUGGCCUUUUCCAGCUUGGGGUCUCUUCUACCACUCAAACCCUGACCACAUAGCACUGGGAAUCUGUGUGUCCUGCUCCGUGUUUCCGACCUUCAGUGGGGUGACCCUUGAAGGCAUAGCACUAAAUUGAGAUUUCUCUGGCGCACAACAUCACUCACUCAGCCUGGACACAGAAAAUGUACUGGUUGAAUGUAUCAUGAAGGAAAUAAGGGGCUAAAUGAGAGUCAGAUAUGUGAGUGACAAAUACAAACCUCAGUCACUUCCCUCCAGGGCUCCCGUCUCCCUUAGGGUAAAAGCCCAAGUCCUGCUUGUGGACCCUCAAGGCCCUGCACGACCUGCUGCAUUCCUUCCCACCGCACCCCCCCCUCCCCUUAGCUCACUCUGCUCUAACCCUAUAGGCCUCCUCACUGUUCCUCCAAGACACUAAGCAGGGUCUUGCCCCAGGGCCUUUGCACGGGCUGUUCCCCAGCUCAGCAUGCAGUAAGCACUCUUGAUUGUGACCUUUGGCGUGGCUGGCUCACUCCUCCGUCAGAUCUCCAUUCAAAUGCCACCUCCACAGAGGGGCCUCCCUUGACCUUGAUCUCUGAAAUAGCCGGCCAGUCUGGGGCUCUAGUCCCUGCCUGGCACUUCCCACGAUCGGAUGCAGUGUGUAUUUACAUAGUUAUCUUUAUGAUGCGGCUGUUUUCUGUACGUUUUAUUCCCUGGUUCCCUGGGCGCCUCCAUCUGCCUGGCGCGCAGUAGGCACUUAAUACAUCUCGGCGUA